rnacentral:rRNA from 1 species
UACGUAGGGAGCAAGCGUUAUCCGGAUUUAUUGGGUGUAAAGGGUGCGUAGACGGGAAAUUAAGUUAGUUGUGAAAGCCCUCGGCUUAACUGAGGAACUGCAACUAAAACUGGUUUUCUUGAGUGCAGGAGAGGUAAGUGGAAUUCCUAGUGUAGCGGUGAAAUGCGUAGAUAUUAGGAGGAACACCAGUGGCGAAGGCGACUUACUGGACUGUAACUGACGUUGAGGCACGAAAGUGUGGGGAGCAAACAGG